GAUGAACGCUGGCGGCGUGCCUAAUACAUGCAAGUCGAGCGAAUGGAUUAAGAGCUUGCUCUUAUGAAGUUAGCGGCGGACGGGUGAGUAACACGUGGGUAACCUGCCCAUAAGACUGGGAUAACUCCGGGAAACCGGGGCUAAUACCGGAUAACAUUUUGAACCGCAUGGUUCGAAAUUGAAAGGCGGCUUCGGCUGUCACUUAUGGAUGGACCCGCGUCGCAUUAGCUAGUUGGUGAGGUAACGGCUCACCAAGGCAACGAUGCGUAGCCGACGUGGUGGGGGGAGCGGCCACACUGGGACUGAGACACGGCCCAGACUCCUACGGGAGGCAGCAGUGGGGAAUCUUCCGCAAUGGACGAAAGUCUGACGGAGCAGAGCCGCGUGAGUGAUGCAGGCUUUCGGGUCGUAAAACUCUGUUGUUAGGGAAGAACAAGUGCUAGUUGAAUAAGCUGGCACCUUGACGGUACCUAACCAGAAAGCCACGGCUAACUACGUGCCAGCCGCCGCCGUAA
rnacentral:rRNA from 1 species